rnacentral:rRNA from 1 species
AAACGUUUUCUACGUCUUUGAGUUUUUAAUCAAAAUCCUCUGGAAUGGGGUAUCAUGGAGGGUGACAAUCCCGUUCAUGGUUAAUUCUCAGUUGUUUAUGAUACGUUUUCGAAGAGUCGAGUUGUUUGGGAUUGCAGCUCAAAAUGGGAGGUAAAUUUCUCCUAAAGCUAAAUAUUGGCGAGAGACCGAUAGCGAACAAGUACCGUGAGGGAAAGAUGAAAAGAACUUUGAAAAGAGAGUUAAAUAGUACGUGAAAUUGUUGAAAGGGAAACGAUUGAAGUCAGUCGUACCAACGGGAAAUCAGCCUUUUGAAGCGGAUUUUGGUGUUUCAAAGAGUGUCAAAACCUUUGGGGUGUCAAAACUCUUCUUUUCUGGGUGUACUUUCUCGUAGGUAGGUCAACAUCGAUUUUGAACAUCAUAAAAAGACUGGAGGAAUGUAGCUUCGAUCUCGUAUUGAAGUGUUAUAGCCUUUGGUAAAUGUGAUGAUCAAGAUCGAGGAUUGCAACGAAUAUCCUUUUGGGCUAUCCGUCUGAUCUCUGAUACGUUGCCUUGGUAUUGAAAGCUUG